rnacentral:rRNA from 1 species
AUUGAACGCUGGCGGCUGGCCUAACACAUGCAAGUCGAGCGGAUGAAGGGAGCUUGCUCCUGGAUUCAGCGGCGGACGGGUGAGUAAUGCCUAGGAAUCUGCCUGGUAGUGGGGGAUAACGUCCGGAAACGGGCGCUAAUACCGCAUACGUCCUGAGGGAGAAAGUGGGGCAUCUUCGGACCUCACGCUAUCAGAUGAGCCUAGGUCGGAUUAGCUAGUUGGUGGGGUAAAGGCCUACCAAGGCGACGAUCCGUAACUGGUCUGAGAGGAUGAUCAGUCACACUGGAACUGAGACACGGUGCAGACGCCUACGGGAGGACGCAGUGGGGAAUAUUGGAGCAUGGGCGAAAGCCUGAUCCAGCCAUGCCGCGUGUGUGAAGAAGGUCUUCGGAUUGUAAAGAACUUUAAGUUGGGGGGAAGGGCAGUAAGUUAAUACCUUGCUGUUUUGACGUUACCAACAGAAUAAGCACCGGCUAACUUCGUG